UACGUAGGGAGCAAGCGUUGUCCGGAUUUAUUGGGCGUAAAGAGCUCGUAGGCGGCUUAGAAAGUCAGGUGUGAAAACUCUGGGCUCAACCCAGAGACGCCACUUGAUACUUCUAUGGCUUGAGUUCGGUAGGGGACCAUGGAAUUCCUGGUGUAGCGGUGAAAUGCGCAGAUAUCAGGAGGAACACCGAUGGCGAAGGCAGUGGUCUGGGCCGAUACUGACGCUGAGGAGCGAAAGCGUGGGUAGCAAACAGG
rnacentral:rRNA from 1 species